rnacentral:lncRNA from 1 species
AGUUCGCAAACUUUUAAGGUCUUUUCAGAGUAGUACCAUAAAGUAUGACAGUAGAAAAGGGUACUUAGGUUUCUUAAAGCAAAGAACAGAUCUGACGUCUUUGGUAAGCGAAAAAAGUACUGCAUAUUGAAGUGUCAGAUGACGGUUUAAAGAAUGAACUCUUUCGUUUACCCAAUGAAUCUAAACUUGGAACUGGCAGGUGGCGUUUAGCAGUGGCACCCAAUCUUUAUUCUUAAAACCCAGAGGUGUUCUUCACUUUUCAAGUGGAUUUAUUGAUGAUACUUGCUGGUUAAACCAUGAAGAAUACCAAUACAUGGAUAAGUGGAGGGUUAUAAAACUGUAAUACCUCAAGGCAUUUUCAUUCACGCAUGCGAGGCAGUUCGUGAGCAGACGAACCAUUGAAAGAGCCUUGCGCAGUCUAGCAGCAUUCGGUCAGAUAUAUGCAGAACCCGAAACAUUGUUUUGACAAGUACUGUCAUAUUUCGAUUGCAGGUUUUCACUAAAUACCAAGUGUCAGAACUGACUGUUCAUGAAAAAUCGCGAUUUUGCUCAAAUCUGACUUUUGGCUAAAACACCUCAUUCCAGCCCCAAAUUUAAUAAGGAUCACGAAAAUCCUAUUCGUUUUGUUAUGGAAUCCCUAUUUCCGAAGAUAUUGGCUACUUCCAGUUACUUCCGGGUGUUGUAGCUUUUAUUCCGUGUAUUUUUGCCAUCAACAGUAGAGGCUGACCCCACGAGCAACGACAGUUUUAGCUAAAGAUGUUUAGCUUCUCGUGCUGCAACUAUUUGUAGUUGAUAUUCUAGGAUGAAAAACUAGAUGACGUUGACAUGCACUUUGAUAAAGAUCACAAAUGACAAGUAAUCAAUCGAUGCUGUCUGUUCUACUACACUUGGGGAAUAAUGGUUCAGUGAUGGGGUACAACACCACUCCAAUCCAUAGUGGCAAGGUAGAAUCUAUUGCAACGAAAUCUUUCGGUGCAAUAACGCACUAUUUCACUAUUGCAACGAAAUAUGUCGUUGCAAUAAGUGGCGUUAUUCUCUAUUGCAACGAAAUGUUUCGGUGCAAUAAAUCCUCGUUUUCCCUAUUUUAACGAAAGAUUAAAUUGUAUAUUUUUUAUGCAUAGUAGUUCAGUAUAGUCGCAUGGUGUGGCGAAGCAGAACGCUUGUGGAGUGUAUCAGUGUUUUUGUGUGUAAGUGUAUCUGUUGGUUGGUGGUUUUGUGCAGUGCUUACUUUUCUGGUGAAGGUUAAUGGUGAAAAGGUUAGUUCCAUUUUUAAUUAUUUCCAGUUAUUUUUGCCGGGUUUUUUGCCCGUCAGGCAUUCUUUUUUCCUGGCUAUCGUUGCCCGUGAGGCAUGGUUUUUGUUAUUUUUUUGCGGCGGGCCAUUUUGGCCCGGCUACCGAUGCCCGUGAGACACGUUGUUUUUUUGUUUUUUGCGGUGGGCCACUUUGCCCGGCUACCGAUGCCCGUGAGGCAUAUUUUUAGCCAAAAGUCGGAUUUGACCAAAAUCGCGAUUUUCAUGAACAGGAAAAUCGCGAUUUUUGACGAUUUCGGGUAUUUUGAGUUGAUACAUCGAGUCGAAAUCGACCCCAAAUUUGACGAGGAUCACGAAAAUGGGAAUCUUUUUCUGACAGACCAAUAAAUAAGGAGUUAUUUGACAUUUAAAAACCGAAAAUUAAACCGGAAAUAGAAAUUCCGGAAAUCUAAAAAUAAGCUUUGUUCUCCUUUAAAAGGUUAACAAGAUCUUGAUAGUUGUAAAAGUAAACUAUUGUUAAUAAAAGUUAUGCGGUGUUCUAAAAGUACAAUUUCAGUUCUGACACCUAAAUAUACUUGAAUCGUAAAAUCAAACAUUUAACACGAUUAAACCCGUUACUCACUUGGUAUUUAUUGAAAACCCGCAACCGAAAUAUCACAGUACUUGUCAAAACAAUGUUUCGGGUUCUACUAGUAUCUGGUUGGAUGCAGCUAGACUGCAAGGCUCGUUCGUUUGCUCACGAACUGUCGCACAUGUGUGAAUGAAAAUGCCAUGAGGAAUUACAGUUUUAUACUUUUAUGACCCUCCACUAAUCCAUCUAUUAGUACUAUCGUAGUCUGUAAGCUGGGGAUCACCCAAAAAGCCUGGUGACAAUUCCGCCGUAAAAGCAGACUAAUGGCCAUCCAAGGGUCGCUGGCUAUAAUCGCCAACUACCUUAGAGGGACCAGAGAAGCAGCGAGCCUCGAAGAUGGGGACCCAUCGUCACCCCCGAGUGGCAGGAUCGAAGCACCAAUAUCCGCAA